CCAAGAAGAAAAAGGAAAGAAGAAAAAGGAAAGAAACGAGGGCAACAAGCAGCCGCCGCUGUCUCCACCACUCCACCAGUCCGUUCUCGCCGGCGCCUCUGUCCCCAAAUCCAAAUGGCGGACGAGGCCGCCGGAGCGAACUGCCCUCGCCGCAGCGCGCGCCUCCGCCCCCAGAUUCACGCGAAUGAGGAGGAAGCCGAAAUUGCAACACGCCGUUGCAGCCCGCGCCUCCAUCCCCAAACCCUCGCGAGCAAGGAGGUCUCCGGAGUGACCCGCCGCCGCCGCCGCGGCACGCGCCUCCGUCCCCAGAUCCACGGUAAUGAGGAGGGCGCCGGGGUGACCCGCCGCAGCAGCCCGCGAUUCCAUCCCCAAAUCCACGCGAGUGGGGAUGGGGAGGCCGCGCGUGUGACCCGCCGCCGCCGCCGCGGAACCUCGCCGGAGGCGGCUGAGUCCCUGCCGGCCAGCGACGAUCUCCUCCGGGAGAUCCUCCUCCGCCUCCCGCCGCAGCCGUCCUCCCUCCCACGCGCCGCCGCCGCCUGCAAGCGCUGGCUGCGCGUCGCCGCCGACCCCCGGUUCCUCCGCGGCUUCUCUGCCCGCCACCGCAAGCCGCCCCUCCUCGGCGUCUUCGAGCCCCUCGACUGGGAGAUCGACUCGUGUGGUCGCCUUAAUCGUCGCUCCUUCAAGCGCCGCGACAAGUGGAUUGAGUUCAGGCCCAUCCUCGACCCUCCCAACCGGAUCCCUCCUCAGCGCUUCGACCUGCGACGUCACGGCGUCGAAACCGGCAUCCGCUCCAGGGCCCAGCUGCUCGGGUGCCGCCACGGCCGCCUUCUCAUCAUGGACGAUGUGCACGCAGACUUUGUUGUCUACGCCCCCAUCACGGGCGAGCAGCGCCGUUUGGCCGUUCCCACGGAGUUCAAGAGGGACUUUGUCCAUGCGGCGGUGCUCUGUGCUGCCGGCGAGCUUGGCCACGUGCACGGCAGCUGCCAUUGGAGCCCAUUCAAGGUGGUCUUGGUGUCCAUGUACAGAAAGGAUAAUCGGCCGGUUGCUUGUGUUUACUCCUCGGAGGCUGGUGUGUGGGGCAAUCUUAUUUCCACAGACGCUCGAUGCGGGCUUGUUGAUGCUAAUCCCGGGAUUCUUGUUGGUAAUGUCCUUUACUGGUCGUCUAAGUCUGUGUGUGACGGUGAAGGUUUGUGGGGUUUAGAUAGGCUCACAAAUGAUAUAAUUGAGUUUGAUUUGGAUACACAUAGCCUAGCUGUGAUCAAGGGGCCUCCCUGUCUCAAUAACUCACUCAGACAUCAGAUCAUCAAGGCAGACGAUGGUUCUGUUGGUCUCACCGUGGUGUUUUAUGGUAGAUUUGAAAUGUGGCAGAGGAAGAUUGAUCGUCAUGGUGUUGCCACAUGGUUAAAUCACAAGAGCAUUCAAAUGCAUCUUGUUCUUGGGCUCUCUCAUCAGCUUGAGAGAUUGACGAGAUGGAUACAAAUUAUGGGGUAUGAUGAGGAUAAUGGUGUAAUAUUUUUACAUGUGGAUGCCAGUGUCUACAUGGUUCAACUGAUGUCGAUGCAAUCCAAGAAACUUUAUCGAAGCUAUACUCCCAAUUAUAGAUGUCACCCUUUCACAAGUUUCUAUGCGCCAGCUUUUAUUAAUCGUCUGACUUCUUAUGCGUCUGGUCACAGCCAUUCCUGGUGGAUGCAAUGGAGCUGAGAUGUUGCACGAUAUGUAGGAUGACUGUCUGGUUGCAUGUGAUAAUGUGCUCGAAUGGUUCAACAGGUGAAGUAAUUAAGAGCAGCAGCUGUUCUCACAAGUUUGUCGUGUUGCAUCGAUGUGGUCGGCAGUGUGUAUAUAUGUUAUGUGGAAGAAUGUACUGUGCUUGUGCCGUAGCCUAACUAAGUUUGUAAUGUAACAAGAGCUUUUUAAUAUAUAUUCGAAGGAAGUUCAAGACA